rnacentral:miRNA from 1 species
UCUCCCUGUAGCCCCAGCUAUGCUGGAACUCACUAUGUAGACCAGGCUGGCCUUGAACUCAGAGAUCUGCCUGCCUCUGCCUCCCAAGUGCUGGUAUUAAAGGCAUGCACCACCAUGCCCG